rnacentral:lncRNA from 1 species
UUUUGAAGUACUUCUGAGAACAAACACAUGCAUCUUUCAUAGCGACAAGCGAAGGACGGACAGAGAAGGAAGGGACACAGAGAAGGCAGGGACACAGUAGAAGGGACACAGAGAAGGAAGGGACACAGAGAAGGCAGGG